rnacentral:rRNA from 1 species
UACGUAGGUGGCAAGCGUUGUCCGGAAUUAUUGGGCGUAAAGCGCGCGCAGGCGGCCUCUUAAGUCUGAUGUGAAAUCUUGCGGCUACAACCGCAAGCGGCCAUUGGAAACUGGGGGGCUUGAGUACAGAAGAGGAGAGUGGAAUUCCACGUGUAGCGGUGAAAUGCGUAGAUAUGUGGAGGAACACCAGUGGCGAAGGCGACUCUCUGGUCUGUAACUGACGCUGAGGCGCGAAAAGCGUGGGGAGCAAACAGG